GCAGACCUCAGCAGACCUCAUUCUUGAGGAAAGGAAGGGCCUCAGGAUGGACACCUAGAGCCAGGAUGGAUUGAAUCAAUCACCACCACCCUGCCAGUCAGCCUUGGAUAAAAGCGGCAGAGGCUCAAUAGGCUCUGUCAGGGUGUGGAUCCCAGACCCUGCACUCCGGCAUGAUGUUAGUGCCCUAUCUUCUCAUCAGAAACACUGAAUCAUAAAGCUGUAACAACAGAAAUGGUUCCAUUGUGUGGUCUUCAGAAGUCAGGGAGACCUAGCUGCCUAUUGCCAGGCGCCUUCCUGACCAUUUUUGAACCAGUGAGCAAACAACUCCUCAUCUUCCAAACAAGUAAACAAGCAUUCAUGGAGAACCUACCGGGCACUCUGCAUCCACACCCGCCCCCCCUAAUCCAAGUUCCAACCUAUGGCCGAAGUGACCUUCUAAAAACACAAAUUUGUCAGGAGGAUGAAACGAGCUAACAUUUGUAAAGUGCUGACUGGCAUUACUAGCACAUGGUGAGUGCUAUAAAAUAUCUAUUAAGGGGCACCUGGGUGGCUCAGUCUGUUAAGCGUCUGACUUCGCUCAUGCUCAUGUCCUGAUCUCACGGUUGGAGCCCGAAUUGGCUCCGCUCAGACAGAUUCUCUGUCUCUCCCCACUCUGCCCCUCCCCGACUUGUGUGCAGUCGUGUGCUCUCU